GAUGAACGCUGGCGGCGUGCCUAAUACAUGCAAGUCGAGCGAACAGACGAGGAGCUUGCUCCUCUGACGUUAGCGGCGGACGGGUGAGUAACACGUGGAUAACCUACCUAUAAGACUGGGAUAACUUCGGGAAACCGGCGCUAAUACCGGAUAAUAUAUUGAACCGCAUGGUUCAAUAGUGAAAGACGGUUUUGCUGUCACUUAUAGAUGGAUCCGCGCCGCAUUAGCUAGUUGGUAAGGUAACGGCUUACCAAGGCGACGAGGCGUAGCCGACCUGAGAGAGUGAUCGGCCACACUGGAGCGGAGACACGGUCCAGACUCCUACGGGAGGCAGCAGUAGGGAAUCUUCCGCAAUGGGCGAAAGCCUGACGGAGCAACGCCGCGUGAGUGAUGAAGGUCUUCGGAUCGUAAAACUCUGUUAUUAGGGAAGAACAAAUGUGUAAGUAACUAUGCACGUCUUGACGGUACCUAAUCAGAAAGCCACGGCUAACUACGUG
rnacentral:rRNA from 1 species